AACCGGCAGAGUUUGAUCCUGGCUCAGGACGAACGCUGGCGGCGUGCUUAACACAUGCAAGUCGAACGAUGAACCUCUUCGGAGGGGAUUAGUGGCGAACGGGUGAGUAACACGUGGGCAAUCUGCCCUGCACUCUGGGACAAGCCCUGGAAACGGGGUCUAAUACCGGAUACGACCAUCUCGGGCAUCCGAUGGUGGUGGAAAGCUCCGGCGGUGCAGGAUGAGCCCGCGGCCUAUCAGCUUGUUGGUGGGGUGAUGGCCUACCAAGGCGACGACGGGUAGCCGGCCUGAGAGGGCGACCGGCCACACUGGGACUGAGACACGGCCCAGACUCCUACGGGAGGCAGCAGUGGGGAAUAUUGCACAAUGGGCGGAAGCCUGAUGCAGCGACGCCGCGUGAGGGAUGACGGCCUUCGGGUUGUAAACCUCUUUCAGCAGGGAAGAAGCGCGAGUGACGGUACCUGCAGAAGAAGCACCGGCUAACUACGUGCCAGCAGCCGCGGUAAUACGUAGGGUGCGAGCGUUGUCCGGAAUUAUUGGGCGUAAAGAGCUCGUAGGCGGCUUGUCGCGUCGGAUGUGAAAGCCCGGGGCUUAACCCCGGGUCUGCAUUCGAUACGGGCAGGCUAGAGUUCGGUAGGGGAGGUCGGAAUUCCUGGUGUAGCGGUGAAAUGCGCAGAUAUCAGGAGGAACACCGGUGGCGAAGGCGGAUCUCUGGGCCGAUACUGACGCUGAGGAGCGAAAGCGUGGGGAGCGAACAGGAUUAGAUACCCUGGUAGUCCACGCCGUAAACGUUGGGAACUAGGUGUGGGCGACAUUCCACGUCGUCCGUGCCGCAGCUAACGCAUUAAGUUCCCCGCCUGGGUAGUACGGCCGCAAGGCUAAAACUCAAGGAAUUGACGGGGGCCCGCACAAGCGGCGGAGCAUGUGGCUUAUUCGACGCAACGCGAAGAACCUUACCAAGGCUUGACAUACACCGGAAAGCCGUAGAGAUACGGUCCCCCUUGUGGUCGUGUACAGGUGGUGCAUGCUGUCGUCAGCUCGUGUCGUGAGAUGUGGUUAGUCCCGCACGAGCGCACCCUUGUUCUGUGUUGCAGCAUGCUUUCGGGUGAUGGGGACUCACAGAAACUGCCGGGUCAA
rnacentral:rRNA from 1 species